UACGUAGGGCGCAAGCGUUAUCCGGAAUUAUUGGGCGUAAAGAGCUCGUAGGCGGUUUGUCGCGUCUGCCGUGAAAGUCCGGGGCUCAACCCCGGAUCUGCGGUGGGUACGGGCAGACUAGAGUGAUGUAGGGGAGACUGGAAUUCCUGGUGUAGCGGUGAAAUGCGCAGAUAUCAGGAGGAACACCGGUGGCGAAGGCGGGUCUCUGGGCCGUUACUGACGCUGAGGAGCGAAAGCGUGGGGAGCGAACAGG
rnacentral:rRNA from 1 species